rnacentral:rRNA from 1 species
CAAGUCGAACGAAGUAGCAAUACUUAGUGGCAGACGGGUGAGUAACAUGUAGGUAUCUGCCCUUUGGCCUGGAAUAACACGAGGAAACUUGUGCUAAUACCGGAUAAGUCUUCACGGAGAAAGCUUUAUGCACCAUUGGAUGAGCCUGCACUUGAUUAGUUUGUUGGUGGGGUAAUGGCCUACCAAGACUUUGAUCAAUAGCUGAUUUGAGAGGAUGAUCAGCCACAUUGGGACUGAGACACGGCCCAAACUCCUACGGGAGGCAGCAGUGGGGAAUCUUGCACAAUGGAGGAAACUCUGAUGCAGCGAUGCCGCGUGAGUGAAGAAGGCCUUUGGGUUGUAAAGCUCUUUCGUCGGGGAAGAAAAUGACUGUACCCGAAUAAGAAGGUCCGGCUAACUUCGUGCCAGCAGCCGCGGUAAUACGAAGGGACCUAGCGUAGUUCGGAAUUACUGGGCUUAAAGAGUUCGUAGGUGGUUGAAAAAGUUGGUGGUGAAAUCCCAGAGCUUAACUCUGGAACUGCCAUCAAAACUUUUCAGCUAGAGUUUGAUAGAGGAAAGCAGAAUUUCUAGUGUAGAGGUGAAAUUCGUAGAUAUUAGAAAGAAUACCAAAUGCGAAGGCAGCUUUCUGGAUCAUUACUGACACUGAGGAACGAAAGCAUGGGUAGCGAAGAGGAUUAGAUACCCUCGUAGUCCAUGCCGUAAACGAUGUGUGUUAGACGUUGGAAAUUUAUUUUCAGUGUCGCAGCGAAAGCAAUAAACACACCGCCUGGGGAGUACGACCGCAAGGUUAAAACUCAAAUGAAUUGACGG